CAACUUUCAACAACGGAUCUCUUGGCUCUCGCAGCAGAAUUCAGUGAAUUAUUGAGUCUUUGAACGCACUUGCGCCCUUUGGUACUCCGAAGGGCAUGCCUGUUUGAGUGUCAGUA
rnacentral:rRNA from 1 species